AUGGCGACCGGCGUACGGGUGAGUAACGCGUAUCCAACCUGCCCUUUACUAUGGGACAGCCCGUCGAAAGGCGGAUUAAUACCGUAUGUUGUCAUGCUGAUGCAUAUUUUCAUGACCAAAGGCUUCGGCCGGUAAAGGAUGGGGAUGCGUCUGAUUAGCUUGCCGGCGGGGUAACGGCCCACCGGGGCGACGAUCAGUAGGGGUUCUGAGAGGAAGGUCCCCCACAUUGGAACUGAGACACGGUCCAAACUCCUACGGAAGGCAGCAG
rnacentral:rRNA from 1 species